rnacentral:rRNA from 1 species
AUUGAACGCUGGCGGCAUGCCUUACACAUGCAAGUCGAACGGCAGCAUGAUCUAGCUUGCUAGAUUGAUGGCGAGUGGCGAACGGGUGAGUAAUACAUCGGAACGUGCCCUGUAGUGGGGGAUAACUAGUCGAAAGAUUAGCUAAUACCGCAUACGACCUGAGGGUGAAAGUGGGGGACCGCAAGGCCUCAUGCUAUGGGAGCGGCCGAUGUCUGAUUAGCUAGUUGGUGGGGUAAAGGCCCACCAAGGCGACGAUCAGUAGCUGGUCUGAGAGGACGAUCAGCCACACUGGGACUGAGACACGGCCCAGACUCCUACGGGAGGCAGCAGUGGGGAAUUUUGGACAAUGGGGGCAACCCUGAUCCAGCAAUGCCGCGUGUGUGAAGAAGGCCUUCGGGUUGUAAAGCACUUUUGUCCGGAAAGAAAUCGCACUUACUAAUAUUAGGUGUGGAUGACGGUACCGGAAGAAUAAGGACCGGCUAACUACGUG